UACGUAGGGGGCGAGCGUUGUCCGGAAUCAUUGGGCGUAAAGCGCACGCAGGCGGCAAGGUAAGUCAGUUGUGAAAUUCCCGAGCUUAACUUGGGGGCUGCAGCUGAUACUGCCCUGCUUGAGUACGGAAGAGGGGAGCGGAAUUCCCAGUGUAGAGGUGAAAUUCGUAGAUAUUGGGAGGAACACCGGUGGCGAAGGCGGCUCCCUGGUCCGAUACUGACGCUCAUGUGCGAAAGCGUGGGGAGCAAACGGG
rnacentral:rRNA from 1 species